rnacentral:rRNA from 1 species
GACGAACCGUGCAAACGUUGUUCGGAAUCACUGGGCUUAAAGGGCGCGUAGGCGGUUCCCAAGUCGGUGGUGAAAUCUUUCGGCCCAACCGGAAAAGUGCCGCCGAUACUGGGAGUCUCGAGGGAGGUAGGGGUCGAUGGAACUUCCGGUGGAGCGGUGAAAUGCGCAGAUAUCAGGAAGAACACCCGUGGCGAAGGCGGCUCUCUGGUACGUGACUGACGCUGAGACGCGAAAGCGUGGGGAGCAAACAGG